rnacentral:lncRNA from 1 species
AAUUAUAGUGCAGUGCAAGUGCAUAGUGAAAACUCUUCUGUAAUAAUUCGGAUUUUCUAAUAGUUUGGAUUUAUGUAGGCAUUCAUUUUCCCAGCAUAAACGUUCUGGAGAUAUUAUUUCCGCAUGCGAUAACACAAUUGUUCUGUACGUGUGCAUAUAUAUUACUUACAAAUGUAUAAAUACAUUUCUAACGACACAACAUUUUCAUAUUAUUAUAUGUUCUAAAAAAAAAUGUUUUUAUGAGUAUUACUUGAAGCGACAAA